rnacentral:tRNA from 1 species
CAUCAAGUAGUUUAUUAAAAUUUAAAUUUUGGAGAUUUACGAUGUCAAAUUUUGAUCUUGAUGA